ACGCAGAUGGCUGAAACUUUGAGUCCAUGAGACACUAAUCGACAGGUACAUUCAUGUUUAGCACUUAAACUUUACUCCUAGAAUAUUUCUCACUCACCGUUUGUUGCUUUUUAUGCCCUUUAAGCAGGUAAAUAAGCUGUUUUUUUAAAUGCAUCUAGAAACAUAAUGGUAAUGGGAUAUUCAGGACAGAUUUUAAUGUUCAUAGGGAUGUUCUUUUUGAUAAAAUAUCACUCUAUUCUGGGACAUUCACGACGUCCCCAUAGCACACCUUACAUCAGUGUAUGAAUAGAAACUGUGUGUUAAGUAUCUGACAACCUAGAGACUUGGUCAAGCAUUGGUCCCCUUAAGGAACCACGACAUGGUGUGUGAUAUGUCCCCACUAAGCUUGUUUUAUUCAAUAUGUGUGAAAUCAGGCAGAGGUUGAUGGAGGAAGAGGAAAUAUUGAAUUUGAUGAUUUUGUCUUUGAAGUUUUGUGCCUGUUGGCUUGAAUUUAACUUUAGAAAUUUGUCAUUAAGAACAUGCAGUAGUGUAAAUAAAUACUAAGCAGCGAUUACAUCAAAUUGAACACUUGUUUUUCAUAUUUAUGUUUACAAUUACAAUAUUUUAGAUGUAGUUAUAUUUUAAGGCUGUCUUUCAUACGUUAAAAAAAGUCAAUGUUUUGCCUAAACUUACAAAUCGCAAAUGUUGUAAAUUUGAUUUGUCCUAAUUAUUCAGAUUCAUUUUCAAGGUAUAUUUUUGUGACAGCACAAACGGUGUGUUUGCAGACAAAGGAAUAUUAUCUAUGUUCAGAAGUAUAAACUUUCACCAAGUCAGACUUCAGUUUCAAAAUAUUUUCUUGUGUUUAGACUUUUGCUGUUUUUAGGACCAUUUGUUAACAUCACUACUCCAAAUAUUUAAGUGUGUGAGAAAAGUAUAAUAUAACAUUUGCAAUUAAGUGGUUGAUUAACACUGUAGGAAUUUUAAACAAUUUUAAUUGUAUUGUCAUAAUAUAGUGCACUGGGAUUGUGUUCAGUUCCAAGGAUAUAUGUCUAAGUAACUUCUUUUUUGUCCUUAGAUGAAAGGCACAGAUGUUGAAGAUUCAAAUGAAGUAUCCGACUCUAUACAAGUUUGUAUUGUUGCUUUCAGUUUUGUCUUGAGAGAACGCAAAUGAGCAGGACUCAAUAAAAAGUUUAAAUGUAUAA